rnacentral:rRNA from 1 species
UACGUAGGGCGCAAGCGUUAUCCGGAAUUAUUGGGCGUAAAGAGCUCGUAGGCGGUUUGUCGCGUCUGCCGUGAAAGUCCGGGGCUCAACUCCGGAUCUGCGGUGGGUACGGGCAGACUAGAGUGAUGUAGGGGGAGACUGGAAUUCCUGGUGUAGCGGUGAAAUGCGCAGAUAUCGGGAGGAACACCAAUGGCGAAGGCAGCUUGCUGGGACGGUACUGACGCUGAGGCGCGAAAGCGUGGGGAGCAAACAGG